UAGAGCUACAGGUCUGUUUCAUUUGUUAUGUGAUUGGUGUUUGUGUGUGUGUGUGCUAAUGAAAGUGUCCUCCACAGAGACUGACAGAGACUCGUUGUCCCUCAGGAAGCCGCUGUGGGGGAACGGACUCUAAUUUUAAUGAAGAGCCAGGGUGCUACAGAAGAAUGAUGCAGCAGGAGGGAAUUUGUCGAGGGAGAAGAAGAAGAAGAAGAAACCUUCCAGGCGUCCUGCAGAUCCUCGGGGGUUUCAUCAGGAGUCUCACAGGGGGAACAGCAGCAGCAGCAGGACGCCUCCUCUGUGAAGAACGGAGAGACCCCGGAGCCCGUUGUGCCGACACACCGCGUAGGAUCUACUGUGGACGAAUCACCUCAUCUCAAUCACACAAAGCCCUGACUUCCUUUCCUGAUGACCACUUCCUCUCCUGAAGCUAACUUCCUGUAAAGUUGUGACAGUUCAUCGG